rnacentral:lncRNA from 1 species
ACGGAUGCUCUUCGACUGCUUGUCGAAGUCCUUUUUGCCCCAGCCGAUAGGUCUCUAGACGUUACAGAGAACCCCGAACAACCCAAACUGUUAAUCUUCAAUAUCGCUUUGUACUUACGAUCUUGUAUCCACUGACUGUCUUGUUAGAUUAACCCAAUAAAUUUCAUUCAUUUCGCAUACUCAAUCCUAUAGACACCCUUUUAAUCCUUCAAUCACAGACGUAACUCGAUUUCACAAAACAGUCAAGAGUAUUCAAACCCACUUCAUUAAAAAU